GUAAGUAUUAACAUCAAAACGGUUCGAGACGCCUUAAGUAAAUUUUGCACUUUAAAAAAAUGUCUUAUAAAUCAAACGAGAACGUGUCUCGUUGUUUGUCACCUUUGCUUACUCGAUCCGUUAAUGUAUCACGGUCGUCGUCGCCAUCUUUAUCAAUGGUUUAUCAAGCUAAAGAAAUUAAGAAUGAGAUUGAUAUGGACAUAAAUUCAUCAGAAAAUGAUGUAGCUGAAUAUAUCGUUAACAACUAUCCACCUUCGACU
rnacentral:lncRNA from 1 species